rnacentral:rRNA from 1 species
GGAAGGUAAAAAAGUCGUAACAAGGUCUCCGUUGGUGAACCAGCGGAGGGAUCAUUACCGAGUUUACAACUUCCAAACCCCUGUGAACAUACCACUUGUUGCCUCGGCGGAUCAGCCCGCUCCCGGUAAAACGGGACGGCCCGCCAGAGGACCCCUAAACUCUGUUUCUAUAUGUAACUUCUGAGUAAAACCAUAAAUAAAUCAAAACUUUCAACAACGGAUCUCUUGGUUCUGGCAUCGAUGAAGAACGCAGCAAAAUGCGAUAAGUAAUGUGAAUUGCAGAAUUCAGUGAAUCAUCGAAUCUUUGAACGCACAUUGCGCCCGCCAGUAUUCUGGCGGGCAUGCCUGUUCGAGCGUCAUUUCAACCCUCAAGCACAGCUUGGUGUUGGGACUCGCGUUAAUUCGCGUUCCUCAAAUUGAUUGGCGGUCACGUCGAGCUUCCAUAGCGUAGUAGUAAAACCCUCGUUACUGGUAAUCGUCGCGGCCACGCCGUUAAACCCCAACUUCUGAAUGUGACCUCG